UACGUAGGCAGCAAGCGUUGUUCGGAGUUACUGGGCGUAAAGAGUCUGUAGGCGGUGCUCUAAGUUUGGUGUGAAAUCUCCCGCUUAACCGGGAGGGUGCGCCGAAGACUGGGGUGCUGGAGUCUGGGAGAGGAAAGCGGAAUUCCUGGUGUAGCGGUGAAAUGCGCAGAUAUCAGGAGGAACACCGGUGGCGAAGGCGGGUCUCUGGGCCGAUACUGACACUGAGAAGCGAAAGCGUGGGGAGCGAACAGGG
rnacentral:rRNA from 1 species